GAGUUUGAUCCUGGCUCAGGAUGAACGCUGGCGGCGUGCUUAACACAUGCAAGUCGAACGAACCUUCGGGUUAGUGGCGGACGGGUGAGUAACGCGUGAGAAUCUGCCCUCAGGAGGGGGAUAACGGUUGGAAACGACCGCUAAUACCCCAUAUGCCGAUAGGUGAAAUGAAUUUCGCCUGAGGAUGAGCUCGCGUCUGAUUAGCUUGUUGGUGAGGUAAUGGCUCACCAAGGCUUCGAUCAGUAGCUGGUCUGAGAGGAUGAUCAGCCACACUGGGACUGAGACACGGCCCAGACUCCUACGGGAGGCAGCAGUGGGGAAUUUUCCGCAAUGGGCGAAAGCCUGACGGAGCAACGCCGCGUGAGGGACGAAGGCCUCUGGGCUGUAAACCUCUUUUCUCAAGGAAGAAGAUAUGACGGUACUUGAGGAAUAAGCCACGGCUAAUUCCGUGCCAGCAGCCGCGGUAAUACGGGAGUGGCAAGCGUUAUCCGGAAUCAUUGGGCGUAAAGCGUCCGCAGGCGGCCUUUCAAGUCUGCUGUUAAAGCGUGGAGCUUAACUCCAUUAUGGCAGUGGAAACUGAUCGGCUUGAGUAUGGUAGGGGCAGAGGGAAUUCCCGGUGUAGCGGUGAAAUGCGUAGAUAUCGGGAAGAACACCAGUGGCGAAGGCGCUCUGCUGGGCCAUUACUGACGCUCAUGGACGAAAGCCAGGGGAGCGAAAGGGAUUAGAUACCCCUGUAGUCCUGGCCGUAAACGAUGAACACUAGGUGUCGGGGGAAUCGACCCCUUCGGUGUCGUAGCUAACGCGUUAAGUGUUCCGCCUGGGGAGUACGCACGCAAGUGUGAAACUCAAAGGAAUUGACGGGGGCCCGCACAAGCGGUGGAGUAUGUGGUUUAAUUCGAUGCAACGCGAAGAACCUUACCAGGGUUUGACAUCCUGAGAACCUCUUAGAAACUUGAGGGUGCCUUCGGGAAUUCAGUGACAGGUGGUGCAUGGCUGUCGUCAGCUCGUGUCGUGAGAUGUUGGGUUAAGUCCCGCAACGAGCGCAACCCACGUUUUUAGUUGCCAGCAUUUAGUUGGGCACUCUAGAAAGACCGCCGGUGAUAAACCGGAGGAAGGUGUGGAUGACGUCAAGUCAUCAUGCCCCUUACACCCUGGGCUACACACGUACUACAAUGCUACGGACAAAGGGCAGCAAACUCGCGAGAGCUAGCAAAUCCCAUAAACCGUGGCUCAGUUCAGAUCGUAGGCUGCAACUCGCCUACGUGAAGUAGGAAUCGCUAGUAAUCGCAGGUCAGCAUACUGCGGUGAAUACGUUCCCGGGCCUUGUACACACCGCCCGUCACACCAUGGAAGUUGGCCAUGCCCGAAGUCGUUACUCCAACCCUUGUGGAGGAGGACGCCGAAGGUGGGGCUAAUGACUGGGGUGAAGUCGUAACAAGGUAACC
rnacentral:rRNA from 1 species